rnacentral:pre_miRNA from 1 species
GUGUAUGGAUGGUGUUCAGCACCUGGGACAGGUGUGUUUGCCUGUGUGUAAAUGGAGUGUUCAGCACCAGGUACAGGUGUGUUUACCU